rnacentral:rRNA from 1 species
AUGCAACAAGAAUCUACUGUACGUAUCUUCACUCUUGAUGUGAAGGGAAGAAGAAUAAAAAGAAAGGUCAGCUUUGGAUUAGUAAUGGCUGGCUGCUAUCGCGGCGCGAGUGCGACGGAGGAAAGGUCGUCGGAGGGCGGCUGCAGGGUGCGCUCCCACGCCCGGGACUCCACGUACACCCGCGACACCUUGCCGGCCACCCACGCCAUCUCCGGCCGUUCGCUAUCCUCAUCGGCGGCGCACCGCAGCCCCACCUCCACCAGCCUCUCCGCGGCCGCCACGGGGAACGAGUCGCCCAGCCGCCGGUCCACCCAGCUGCGCACCCGCCCGGUCCGGACCGCCUCCGCCGCCGUGUCCACCACCGACACGCGCGCGAACUCCUUGGUGGCGCGGUCGAACCGGUACCGGCUCUCCGCGCCCUCCCCGGACAGCAGCCCCAGCAGCAGCACCCCGAACGCGCGCACGUCCGACGCCUUUCCCUUGGAGGGUCGCUCCUGGUCGUCGGGGGCGGCGAAGUGGCCCGCGCCGAAGUGGGUGAGCACGGCGCGCACGCCCUGGCCGCCGUGGGCGUCGGGGACGAGCAGGACCGCGGACGGCGAGAUGCGGCCGUGCGCGGCGUCCGCGUGCGCGUGCGCGUACUCGAUGCCCUGGGCCACGUCCACGGCCACCUGCACGCGGGACAGCCACGUGCGGAGGAUCACGCUGGUGCUGCUGCCGCCGGCGCGGGAGGAGGAGGAGGAGGAGGAGGAGGAUAGGUAUGCGGCGAGGGUGCAGGCGCCGGUGGGGAGGGCGUAG